GACGGGACCCGCACAGCAGUGAGCAUGUGGUUUAAUUCGAUGCAACGCGAAGAACCUUACCCAGGCUUGACAUGCAGAUGACCGCUCUAGAAAUAGAGUUUCCUUCGGGACAUUUGCACAGGUGCUGCAUGGCUGUCGUCAGCUCGUGCCGUGAGGUGUUGGGUUAAGUCCCGCAACGAGCGCAACCCUUAUCAUUAGUUGCCAACAGGUGAAGCUGGGAACUCUAAUGAGACUGCCUGGGUUAACCAGGAGGAAGGUGAGGAUGACGUCAAGUCCGCAUGGCCCUUAUGUCUGGGGCUACACACGUGCUACAAUGGUCGGUACAGAAGGCAGCGAAACCGCGAGGUGAAGCAAAUCCAACAAAGCCGAUCUCAGUUCAGAUUGUAGUCUGCAACUCGACUACAUGAAGACGGAAUUGCUAGUAAUGGCGAGUCAGCAACAUCGCCGUGAAUACGUUCCCGGGUCUU
rnacentral:rRNA from 1 species